rnacentral:tRNA from 1 species
GGGGAUAUAACUCAGUUGGUUAGAGUGUCAGCUCGACAAGCUGGAAGUCGCAAGUUCGAAUCUUGCUAUCCCCA